AUUGAACGCUGGCGGCAGGCCUAACACAUGCAAGUCGAACGAGCGGCGGACGGGUGAGUAAUGUAUCGGGACUUCCCGAUAGAGGGGGAUACCUACUGGAAACGGUAGCUAAUACCGCAUACCAUCGGAUUGUCCCUAUGUGAUUAGCUAUUAGGUGUGGUAAUGGCUCACCUAGGCGACGAUCCCUAGCUGGUCUGAGAGGAUGAUCAGCCACACUGGAACUGAGACACGGCCCAGACUCCUACGGAGGCAGCAGUGGGGAAUAUUGCACAAUGGGCGCAAGCCUGAUGCAGCCAUGCCGCGUGUAUGAAGAAGGCCCUAGGGUUGUAAAGUACUUUCAGUCGGGAGGCGUUACCAGCAGAAGAAGCACCGGCUAACUCCGUGCCAGCAGCCGCGGUAAUAC
rnacentral:rRNA from 1 species